rnacentral:rRNA from 1 species
GUAGGUGGCAAGCGUUGUCCGGAUUUACUGGGUGUAAAGGGCGUGCAGCCGGAGAGGCAAGUCAGAUGUGAAAUCCGCGGGCUCAACUCGCGAACUGCAUUUGAAACUGCUUCCCUUGAGUAUCGGAGAGGUAAUCGGAAUUCCUAGUGUAGCGGUGAAAUGCGUAGAUAUUAGGAAGAACACCAGUGGCGAAGGCGGAUUACUGGACGACAACUGACGGUGAGGCGCGAAAGCGUGGGGAGCAAA